CUUCCAUGUGAGGUUCUGGGGCGAGUUUCGAAAGAAGACAUGACAUUGUAAUAAUCGCUUCAAGAUGGGAGCGCCGCACGACAGGAGCCAGUAACAGUCAGGAAACAGGCCGGACGCUGCGAAAAGAUAAAUAGAAGCAGAGAAAAUGUGCCUCCUGAAUACCGAAACUUUGCGACUCUGACAUCACGGGGAGCACGCCGC